UAGACUAUCAUGACUGAAAUGAAUGAGCA
rnacentral:piRNA from 1 species